AGUUAUAACCCUUCUAAAAAUCCUAAAAAAAUGUUUCACAGAAGUCACAUUUCUGUAUUGUCUUUAACCGUAAAUAUUCUUCAUGUAACUUUUCACUAGGCUGGGCACGAAGCGGAUAUCCAGAAAAAUUGUGAUAUUUGUUAUUCGAUUCGUUUUAAACGAAUACUUGAUUUUGUGAUUUGCUUUGCUUCAAAAAUUUUCGGAUAUCCGGAAUUUCGAAUAUCAAGAAUUUUUUGUGAUAUUUGCGAAUAUCCGCUUUGAUACACUUAAAUAUUAAAGAAAUAUUGAUUUCACUAUGUGACUACUUUUCUCUAUGUGACUAUUUACACUCAUGUAUUUCCAAUCCUAUUU
rnacentral:sRNA from 1 species